AGUGAACGCUGGCGGUAGGCCUAACACAUGCAAGUCGAACGGCAGCACAGUAAGAGCUUGCUCUUACGGGUGGCGAGUGGCGGACGGGUGAGGAAUACAUCGGAAUCUACUUUUUCGUGGGGGAUAACGUAGGGAAACUUACGCUAAUACCGCAUACGACCUACGGGUGAAAGCAGGGGAUCUUCGGACCUUGCGCGAUUGAAUGAGCCGAUGUCGGAUUAGCUAGUUGGCGGGGUAAAGGCCCACCAAGGCGACGAUCCGUAGCUGGUCUGAGAGGAUGGUCAGGCACACUGGAACUGAGACACGGUCCAGACUCCUACGGGAGGCAGCAGUGGGGAAUAUUGGACAAUGGGCGCAAGCCUGAUCCAGCCAUACCGCGUGAGUGAAGAAGGCCUUCUGGUUGUAAAGCCCUUUUGUUGGGAAAGAAAAGCAGCAGGUUAAUACCCCGCUGUUCUGACGGUACCCAAAGAAUAAGCACCGGCUAACUUCGUG
rnacentral:rRNA from 1 species